rnacentral:rRNA from 1 species
GAAAGGCUAAUCAAGCCUGGUGAUAGCUGGUUCUCCCCGAAAGCUAUUUAGGUAGCGCCUCGGACGAAUACCAUAGGGGGUAGAGCACUGUUUCGGCUAGGGGGUCAUCCCGACUUACCAAACCGAUGCAAACUCCGAAUACCUAUGAGUACUAUCCGGGAGACAGACUGCGGGUGCUAACGUCCGUAGUCAAGAGGAAAACAAUCCAGACCGCCAGCUAAGGCCCCAAAAUCAUAGUUAAGUGGGAAACGAUGUGGGAAGGCAUAGACAGCUAGGAGGUUGGCUUAGAAGCAGCCACCCUUUAAAGAAAGCGUAAUAGCUCACUAGUCGAGUCGGCCUGCGCGGAAGAUGUAACGGGGCUAAAACUAUGUGCCGAAGCUGCGGAUUUGACAUUAGUCAAGUGGUAGGGGAGCGUUCUGUAAGCCGAUGAAGGUGUAUUGAGAAGUAUGCUGGAGGUAUCAGAAGUGCGAAUGCUGACGUGAGUAACGACAAAACGGGUGAAAAACCCGUUCGCCGAAAGACCAAGGGUUCCAGUCCAACGUUAAUCGGGGCUGGGUGAGUCGACCCCUAAGGCGAGGCCGAAAGGCGUAGUCGAUGGGAAAUUGGUUAAUAUUCCAAUACUUCUGUGUAAUGCGAUGAGAGGACGGAGAAGGUUAAGUCAGCCUGGCGUUGGUUGUCCAGGUGGAAGGAUGUAGGUAUGUAUCUUAGGCAAAUCCGGGGUACUCUAUACUGAGAUCCGAUAGCAAGCUGUACUUGUACAGUGAAGUGGCUGAUACCAUGCUUCCAGGAAAAGUCUCUAAGCUUCAGUUACACAGGAAUCGUACCCGAAACCGACACAGGUGGUCAGGUCGAGUAGACCAAGGCGCUUGAGAGAACUCUGCUGAAGGAACUAGGCAAAAUGGUACCGUAACUUCGGGAGAAGGUACGCUGUUGUUGGUGAUGGAACUUGCUUCCUGAGCUGACGACAGCCGCAGAAACCAGGCCGCUGCAACUGUUUAUUAAAAACAUAGCACUCUGCAAACACGAAAGUGGACGUAUAGGGUGUGAUGCCUGCCCGGUGCUGGAAGGUUAAUUGAUGGGGUUAGCGUAAGCGAAGCUCUUGAUCGAAGCCCCAGUAAACGGCGGCCGUAACUAUAACGGUCCUAAGGUAGCGAAAUUCCUUGUCGGGUAAGUUCCGACCUGCACGAAUGGCAUAAUGAUGGCGGCGCUGUCUCCAGCAGAGGCUCAGUGAAAUCGAAAUCGCUGUGAAGAUGCAGUGUACCCGCGGCUAGACGGAAAGACCCCGUGAACCUUUACUGCAGCUUGACACUGAACUUUGACCUUACUUGUGUAGGAUAGGUGGGAGGCUUUGAAGUUGGAACGCUAGUUCCAAUGGAGCCGUCCUUGAAAUACCACCCUGGUAAUGUUGAGGUUCUAACUCUGUCCCGUUAUCCGGGACGAGGACCGUGUCUGGUGGGUAGUUUGACUGGGGCGGUCUCCUCCUAAAGAGUAACGGAGGAGUACGAAGGUGCGCUCAGCGUGGUCGGAAAUCACGCGUAGAGUAUAAAGGCAAAAGCGCGCUUAACUGCGAGACCCACAAGUCGAGCAGGUACGAAAGUAGGUCUUAGUGAUCCGGUGGUUCUGUAUGGAAGGGCCAUCGCUCAACGGAUAAAAGGUACUCUGGGGAUAACAGGCUGAUACCGCCCAAGAGUUCAUAUCGACGGCGGUGUUUGGCACCUCGAUGUCGGCUCAUCUCAUCCUGGGGCUGAAGCAGGUCCCAAGGGUAUGGCUGUUCGCCAUUUAAAGAGGUACGCGAGCUGGGUUUAGAACGUCGUGAGACAGUUCGGUCCCUAUCUACCGUGGGCGCUGGAAAUUUGAGAGGAUCUGCUCCUAGUACGAGAGGACCAGAGUGGACGAACCUCUGGUGUACCGGUUGUGACGCCAGUCGCAUCGCCGGGUAGCUAUGUUCGGAAGGGAUAACCGCUGAAAGCAUCUAAGCGGGAAGCCUACCUCAAGAUAAGAUUUCCCUAGGAAUUUAUUCCUCUAAAGAGCCGUUCGAGACUAGGACGUUGAUAGGUUGGAUGUGGAAGCAUAGUGAUAUGUGAAGCUGACCAAUACUAAUUGCUCGUGAGGCUUGACUAU